CUAAUGCCUUAUCUAUAUUGCAAAUUUUACUAAUUCAAACAAUCUUUGAGAGUUUUUUAAUCUUUUCCAUCUCUCGAGAAAGUGUCCCAUUUUCUGCCUGUGACCCCAUCUGAUUAAAAUUAGAAAUAUUCUAUUUGCACACCUUUAUCAGGAAAAGAACUAAAAUUCAAUACAAAACUCUUGCCUAUUUAAAUAAAUUCUAUAUACAUUAAUGGGGGAAAAAAGAAAAGGAAGAAAUGGACUUUUGAGUAUAAUCUUGCCUUUCAAUCUCGAAUCACCAGUUCAGUCCCAUUCUCAACUUCUAAAUUCAAACUCCUUCUGCGUCUGCUUACGUAUCUACCAAACCCAGAACUCGAGUGACUGGAACUUCUACUGAUAGAACCAGAUUCAGGAUCAGGAUGCAAACUCGAAGUAGUAGUAGUAGCAGAAGAAGAAUUAGACCCCAUCCUCCUAAAAAACGAAACCAACCCACGAAAAACCCUCCUAAACCCACCACCGCCACUGUUCUCCCUCCUACUUGUUCUACUCACCCAAGAAACCCUCCCAGGAGCUCCACCACUUCCACUAAACCCACCAUCCAUCUCUGUAAACACGCCGGGAAACUCUCUCUCUCCUCCCCUCCUUCCCCCACUGAAUCUUCCCACUGCAAAUCCACCUCCUGGCAGCCUCCAUAUGGUCAACCCCACAAUUUCUUCCGAUUCCUCUGAAUUCUCGCUUUCUUGCUGAUCCGCAGGUAGCUCGUGGCGGCAAACGGGGCACGAAUUCCUCAUUGCGAGCCAAGGGAGUAUGCAAUCAGAGUGGUAAAUAUGUUUGCACGGCAUCUCGCGUGCUUCACCGCCAAGUUCGAACGCUUCCUUGCACACUGCGCAGUGUGCAUCCGCAAAUACGUGGGUUUCGGUUAUUUCAACGGUGGGCAUCGACUCCACCACAGCUUUCGAUGCCGGUGGGUUUCCUACCCGUCCGAAACCAUUCACUUCAAUCUGCGCUAACUGGUCUAGCAACCUGUCAAACCCUGAUCCCAUAAAAAACUCAGACAUAUUGGCCGGCACGGGUCUAAGGCCCGACCCUGUUCCAUCAUCGUAGUAGAACUCGUAGCUGCUUCCUUCCUCGUUCUCUUCGGGGGCGGUGCCACGCAAGACAAUAACCGGGUUAAACGGAGAACGAUUGUCUGCGUUGCGUCGAUUCCGGCGAAAUCUCAAUGCGGGAAUCCGACCCGAGUCGUGACGGUUUCUACCGUUGUUAUCCGAUAACAUGUACAUAAAUCGACGGUGGUGAUUGUCCGAUUGCGAAUUGGUUUCGAUCUCUUCGAUAAAUCCACCGUCGCAGUGAGGACAAGCAACGUCGUUGUUUUCCGCAGAGACCAAAACGGUAACGAAGCGCGUGCAACUAUAACACCAAUACGAGGUCGUCGUCGACAUGACUGAAAAGCUUCAGAUCCGUGGCGCGCGCAAGAGAGAGAGAGAGA
rnacentral:misc_RNA from 1 species